UACGAAGGGGGCUAGCGUUGCUCGGAAUCACUGGGCGUAAAGGGCGCGUAGGCGGCGUUUUAAGUCGGCUGUGAAAGUCAGGGGCUCAACCCUUGAAAGCCGGCCGAUACUGUCGGACUAGAGUCCGGAAGAGGCAAGUGGAAUUCCCGGUGUAGCGGUGAAAUGCGCAGAUAUCGGGAGGAACACCAAUGGCGAAGGCAGAUCUCUGGGCCGUAACUGACGCUGAGGAGCGAAAGCAUGGGGAGCGAACAGG
rnacentral:rRNA from 1 species